rnacentral:rRNA from 1 species
UACGAAGGGGGCUAGCGUUGCUCGGAAUCACUGGGCGUAAAGGGUGCGUAGGCGGCUUUGUAAGUUAGAGGUGAAAGCCCGGGGCUCAACUCCGGAAUUGCCUUUAAGACUGCAUCGCUCGAAUUGUGGAGAGGUAAGUGGAAUUCCGAGUGUAGAGGUGAAAUUCGUAGAUAUUCGGAAGAACACCAGUGGCGAAGGCGACUUACUGGACACAUAUUGACGCUGAGGUGCGAAAGCGUGGGGAGCAAACAGG